rnacentral:lncRNA from 1 species
UUAAGCCCAACCUCCCACAGUCCCUGGCCACCAGAAUGGCAUCUCUCUGUGAGGACUUCUGUGCAAUGCCUGUGUUUACUGAUAACUACUCUUUCUACCUGUCUCGUCUCUUCCACACACAGUGCGCUCUGGUCAGGGAGUCUUGCUGAGAGUCUUGCUGUUCUUGCCUCCCCGCCACGGUGUGACUUGGUGCCUGGCACAGGGCAUGCACACAGGAAGCUCCAGACUAGUGUGGAUGGCCGCUGCAUUCUUCUUCCCAGCCUGAUCCUGGUCCUGGGGAGAGCACUUCAGGGUUGCUCUCCUCUUUUGGCCCAUGGGAAGGGGCAGGAUAUGAGGUGGGGGCUUUUGACAAGAAAAUCCUUCUCCACUGUUCCUGGGAAAGGGCCGCUGAGGACUCGGGAAGACUCACUUUGCUCCAGGACUGGUGGUCUCCUCUUUCCCUGUGAUGCAGACAGAAGACUUUGCUUUGGACCCGUGUGGUUCUCACCUUCUCCUCCAUGGGGGCUGUGUGGGCCCUGGUUCUGGGACUGCCAACCGAAUGCUGUUCCGUCCCAUGCAGAUUUCAGUGAAGUUCUCAAAUAAUUAUGCAUAAAAUGCAUACCAUCUCAUACUUUGGUUUUCAUAUCAUGGAACCACGGGAUCUUUGUGAUCUUCAUUUUUCAGUGCCUGCAAACUACCAAAACAAAUACAGGUUUUCUAAUUUAACUAAUCCAAUAAUAAUUGACAUUUGAUCUACUUUUGAGUUUUCAUUACAAUGAAUAAUGGUAUAUUCAGCACAGGGCUUUUUAGUGGGUGAUCAGUCUGCAAAUAAGAUUUCAUCUCAUUGUUAAAUUAGUACCUAUACAUUAUAGAAAUUUAAAAGAAAAUUUAAAUCAUGAGUAAUUGUGUCACUGAGAGACAGAAAAUGUGUACGUGGGGUCCCACCUCUCUAUUCCUUUCCUAGUAUGUGCAUUCAGGCAUCACUGGCCUGGUGGUGUGUACUAGUGUUAUAUCAGGAUUACUGUUGGGCAGGCCUGAGGGUAAGAGGCUAGACUCUUGCCACAAAUUAACCUAGUUUAACUGCUGCCUCUGCUGCUUAGCGCUUUGAAUAAGGUCUCAGUCUCAGUUUUCACUUUCUUAGAGCAGUUAACCACAGGCAAAUUCCUCUGGCCACAGGUUUUAGGAUAUCAGUAAUAUGUUUCUCUUAAGGGUAUAGAAUCAAUAUCGAAAGUAUUUACCGGAACAACCGGCAUGCAGUAAGUGCCCAACAAAUACCAAGCGUGUUAUCAUCUUUUUUUGCAAGCCCCAGGUUGUGAAAAUUCCCUGAAAUUCACCAUUUUUAAUGACGUCCCAAUAUUAUGUUGUUCUUUUGUACCCCAGUUUAUUCAAUCCCA